UGGCUUCUCACGUAAGCUAUACUCUCUCUCUCAUUCUCUCAAAUCUAUCAAUAAAUCAGACGACUUCCUCUUUCGAUAUCUCUUAUUCCCUUUUCGCAGAAACCCUAAAUCGGAGCUCUGAGAUCGACGAAGUGUUGCGAGUCGCCGGGAGGAGAUGCUCUUCAUGGUGGUCGUCUACUCCGGCUUCAUCCGCCAUCAUCUCUCGCAAUUCAAUCACCGGAUGCGGCGUCGUUUCAACGUCCGAUGAUUCCAGAUCCGUUUCCGAUUCAAAUCCAUCUUACCUCAAUUCCAUGUUUCUUCAACAUAUCAGAUGUCACUUUCUUUAACGCUUUUAAUUAUGUAGUAAUUAGAUAUUGAUUCAUUUGAAUUCAUUUGCUGUUUAUGGACUUGUGUAGAUGCGUGUUGCGAAUUUGGAUUUUGUUGACAGUUAAUUGAUAUUUACACGGUUCUAGAAAGUGUUAUUUGUUCACCUGGUAAUUAGUUUUAGAUAAUUUAGCUGUAGAUGUUGAUGAUUUAGAUUCCUUUGCGUUUCGAAUUCUAUACCGAUGGAUUAUUGCGAUUUUUUCAAGUAUAUUUUCUGUGUGGGGAUUGUUUUUGAUUUUGUAUUUGUGUUAUUGGAUAUUUUAGACAUAGGCUUGCUUGAAUACAUAUGCUUCAGAUCAUUAAUGAUGACUGAUAUUUGUUUGUUUCUCUAUUUUUAAAGUUUUGAGUGCCCUAUGAAGAUGUAAAAAGGUUAAAAGAAGUUGAUACGUGUCAAACAUUUCUUUUGUUUUGCUAUUUAUAUUUCUUUGUGACUUUUGUGUUUAUAUCCAAGGUCACUAAGCCUUCUUGUUUCUUUUAUUUAAUAAACAUUUAUAUUAUUAUUACCAGAUUUUAUAUGUUAACACACUAAUAGUUUGUAAAAUAAAAGAUAGUGGAUACAAAAAAUUGUUUGCGGUUGCUCUAUCAGACCCGACCCAUUUUGAACUUUGGCUUAAAGCAGUAACGAACAAACAGGGGCGUCUAGAUGAUGGUGGGGCUGCAACAGUGAGAGCUAUAAUGCAUUGGCAGUACCAAACCAUUUCCAGAGGACACAACUCGAUACUACACAAUCUCAAUGCACUUCUUGGCCCUAAAACAGAGGAUUAUAUAUCAUUUUAUGGCAUCUGGAUGUAUGGCAGACUUGGUGAUGAUGGUCCCAUUGUUAAAAGUCAGGUGUGUGUGCAUAGUAAAGUAUCACGUUAAUUGGAUCAUCCAACAUAAAUGACAGGAGUUUGCUUGGGCAUAGGGAUUCUGAGAUUGGGGUUCUUAUCGACAAUAGAGAAUUUACCGAAUCAACGAUGAAUGGAGAAUGUUGGAGUGCCGGGAAAUUCGCUAGAGUCUCCGGCUUUCUCUAUGGUCUGAACAUCUUGAUCUUCACGGUGAAGAGGUUAGUGCCAUUUUACCUACUUAAAAAAGGUAAUAAACACCUUUUUUCCAUCAAGCCUCUUCAUUUUGUUUCAUUUUGUUAAGUUUGAUAGCUUAGUUACAGUAGGUUAUUUUCAUGUAUUUUUAUGAUGUUCAGAUUUUCUAAUAAGCUACUGUUGACAACAACCAUCUAACAUUGUUUUGAUGUCAACCGACUUAAAGUUGAAUGUUACAAUUAAUCUUGAUGUCAAAGAAUCAGAUUUCAAUUCUUCGCUUGAGAUUUCACCACAUGGUGGGAAGGGAAAUGUGAUGCGCAGGCUCAUUGGUGGUUUUCAUGGAAAGAUGCCAGCUGGCGGAAUAUUAUUAGCUACAGAACGCAAAGGAACAAAUGAAAGAUCCAGAAGCAACCUGGUCACGUCUGAAAACGAUGAACUCAAUGUUAAUGCAGGUGAAAAGAGGGCACACACGCUAAAAGUUAGAUCCGAUGAAAUUUGUGAAACAGGUUGUUUAUUUACUUUUUGGCAUUUCUUUCGGGCACAUUUUAAACGCUUUUGCGAAUAAUCCGGCAAUGCUAAUGCUUCUUGACAACGGACAUCAGAUGGAGCAAUUGAGAUGUGUUUUAAGUAACGGUGUUCUUCGGGUUAUUUUUUCGGGUUUCGAGUUUUUCCGGUCCGGUUGUUCGGGUUUUUGGUUAGGAAAAAAUGACCCGAUAACCAACCCAUUUAAAGUUCGGGUUGUUUGGGUAUGGGUUGUUCGGGUUAGUUCGGGUUGGGUUGUUCGGUUUUCGAGUUUAGAUGUAAAUUGAAAAAAAAGAAUGUUUUUUAGAAAAUAUCAUCAUAUAUAUAUAUCAUGUUGUUAAAAAAUAUCAUCACAUAUUCAAACAUCAUUUAACAAUAUGGUAUGAUAAUAUUCAAAAAUCUCAAAACUUAAUGUUUCAAAUACAAAACACUCCAAAUCAGAUCGCAUCUAUAAAAAAAGCAACUAAUGUUCUGGUUUUUAUUCGGGUUUCAAGUUUCGGGUUAUUCGGGUCGGGUUGUUCGGGUUUUUGUGGGUAAAGAAAUAUCAUCACAUAUUCAAACAUUAAUAAAUGGUUUAUUACCAUUAAGGGCAAAGAAGGAUUGGAGUUUGUGGGUAUACGAAUGUAAAGUUUUUACGUGUGAGUAAUGAUAGUUUAUAGAUAUUUUUUUGGACUACAACCUCCUUUUUUUU